rnacentral:rRNA from 1 species
AUAAGUUACUAAGAGCUUAUGGUGAAUGCCUUGGGACAUGAAGACGAUGAAGGACGUGCAAAUCUGCGAUAAGCCACGGGUAGCUGAUAAGAGGCGAUAAUCCGUGGAUUUCCGAAUGAGGGAACUCAAUAUAUAGUAAUAUAUAUUAUUUAUCAGUGAAUUCAUAGCUGAUAAAGGUAAUACCUAGCGAAGUGAAACAUCUCAGUAGCUAGAGGAAAAGAAAACGAAUGUGAUUUCGUCAGUAGCGGCGAGCGAAAGCGAAACAGGCCAAACCGCAUUAGCGGGGUUGUAGGACUACGAUGUGGACUUGAGAGAGAUAGUAGAACUGGUUGAAAAGCCAGGCCAUAGAAGGUGAAAGCCCAGUAUACGAAAUCUUUCUCAUACCUAGUAGGAUCCUGAGUAGGGCGAGGCACGUGAAACCUUGUUUGAAUCCACCCAGACCAUUGGGUAAGCCUAAAUACUAACAUGUCACCGAUAGCGCAUAGUACCGUGAGGGAACGGUGAAAAGAACCCAGAGAUGGGAGUGAAAUAGAACCUGAAACCAUAAGCUUACAAGGAGUCAGAGCACAUUAAUGUGUGAUGGCGUGCCUUUUGAAGUAUGAGCCUGCGAGUUAUUGUUAUAUGCGAGGUUAAGCAGUAGAUGUGGAGCCGUAGGGAAACCGAGUCUUAAUAGGGCGAUUAGUAUAUGACAAUAGACGCGAAACGGGAUGAUCUAGUCAUGAGCAGGUUGAAGGUGGAGUAACAUCCACUGGAGGACCGAACCCACGUUCGUUGAAACGACCGGGGAUGACUUGUGACUAGCGGUGAAAUUCCAAUCGAAUUCCGUGAUAGCUCGUUCUCGCCGAAAUAUUUUUAGGAAUAGCCUUGGAUUACGAAACAUUGGGGGUAAAGCUCUGAAACUACAAUGGCGUCAUCUCGACGUACUGAGUAGUAUUAAACUGCAAAUACCAUUGUUUUUAUUCCAGGAGUCAGACGAUGGGGGAUAAGCUUCAUUGUCGCGAGGGUAACAGCCCAGACCAUUAAUUAAGGUCCCCAAUAUAUGCUAAGUGGAAAACGAUGUUGAUUUUCUUAGACAGUAAGGAUGUUGGCUCAGAAGCAGCCACCGUUUAAAGAGUGCGUAACAGCUCACUUAUCGAGAGAAUCUGCGCGGAAGAUGUAACGGGGCUAAGCAUAUAACCGAAGUUAUGGAUCAUGUGUAAACAUGGUGGUAGGCGAGCGUUGUAAUUGCAGCGAAGGUAGAGCGUGAGCACUAUUGGAGCGAUUACAAGUGAGAAUGCAGGUGUGAGUAACGAAUGAAAGUGAGAAUCUUUCAAGCCGAUAGACUAAGGUUUCCUGGGCAAGGGUCGUCCUCCCAGGGUUAGUCGGUACCUAAGAUGAGGCAGAAAUGCGUAGUCGAUGGACAACAGGUUAAUAUUCCUGUACUAAUUACUAGAAUGAUGGAAUGACGGAGAAGGUUAAUAGGAGCCACUUAUUGGAUUGUGGUUCAAAUAGCAACUGAGACGGGACAGGCAAAUCCGUUCCGUGUAAUCAGGAGUUAUGACGACGAGCGAACGUUUCGACCAGUAGCGUAAGUCCUAAACAUCAUGCUUCCAAGAAAAGUUUCUAAGUUUAUCUAGUAAUUAUCCGUACCGAGAACGAACACACGUGGUCAGGUAUAAAUGUACCAAGGCUUGCGAGUUAACUACAGUUAAGGAACUCUGCAAAUUGACCCCGUAAGUUAGCGAUAAGGGGUGCUCCAUUAUGUGGAGCCGCAGUGAAUAGCGAGGGGGGACUGUUUAACAAAAACACAGCUUUAUGCUAAGUCGUAAGACGAUGUAUAUGAGGUGACACCUGCCCAAUGCUGUAAGGUUAAAGAAGGGUGUUAGUCGCAAGACGAAGCUCCUGACUGAAGCCCCAGUGAAUGGCGGCCGUAACUAUAACGGUCCUAAGGUAGCGAAAUUCCUUGUCGGGUAAAUUCCGUCCCGCUUGAAU